UGCGUAGGUGGUUUAUCAAGUUGGUGGUGUAAUUCCGGGGCUUAACUCCGGAGCUACCACCAAGACUGAUGAACUUGAGUACGGGAGAGGUAAGUGGAAUUCCUAGUGUAGCGGUGGAAUGCGUAGAUAUUAGGAGGAACACCGGUGGCGAAAGCGACUUACUGGCCCGCAACUGACACUGAGGCACGAAAGCGUGGGGAGCAAACA
rnacentral:rRNA from 1 species